rnacentral:rRNA from 1 species
GUAAGGAAUAUUGGUCAAUGGGGGCAACCCUGAACCAGCCAUGCCGCGUGAAGGAUGAAGGCGUUAUGCGUUGUAAACUUCUUUUGUAUGGGAAGAAUGACAGGGAUUUAUCCUUGGAGAGACGGUACCAUACGAAUAAGCACCGGCUAACUCCGUGCCAGCAGCCGCGGUAAUACGGAGGGUGCAAGCGUUAUCCGGAAUCACUGGGUUUAAAGGGUACGUAGGCGGAGCGUUAAGUCAGUGGUGAAAUCCUGCAGCUUAACUGUAGACUUGCCAUUGACACUGGCGCUCUUGAGUGCGCUUGAAGUGGGCGGAAUGUGCCGUGUAGCGGUGAAAUGCUUAGAUAUGGCACAGAACACCAAUUGCGAAGGCAGCUGACUGAGCCUUGAUUGACGCUGAGGUACGAAAGUGUGGGUAGCGAACAGGAUUAGAAACCCUAGUAGUCC